GACGUAGGGGGCAAGCGUUGUCCGGAAUUAUUGGGCGUAAAGCGCGUGUAGGCGGCUCGAUAAGUCUGCUGUGAAAGUCCAAGGCUCAACCUUGGAAAGCCGGUGGAUACUGUCGAGCUCGAGUCCGGAAGAGGCGAGUGGAAUUCCUGGUGUAGCGGUGAAAUGCGCAGAUAUCAGGAAGAACACCUAUGGCGAAGGCAGCUCUCUGGGACGGUACUGACGCUGAGACGCGAAAGCGUGGGGAGCGAACAGG
rnacentral:rRNA from 1 species